rnacentral:tRNA from 1 species
GCCCGGGUGCUGUAAUAGGUAGCCAGGACGGACUUAAAAUCCGUUGACCGUUAGGUCGUGUGGGUUCGAGUCCCACCCCGGGUA